rnacentral:lncRNA from 1 species
GCACUCUGCCUUAGAUCAAAGCUGUGUCAAGCAGCACAGCCCCGGGAGAUAAGAAUCUGAGGUCCCUGCGAUCGCAGCGUUGAGAUUUUCCACUAAAAAUAUUUACCGAAUUUUGAGAAAAUCUGCUUCAUGCAUUGAAGGGAACAGGAUGAGGUUUGGUUCUGAACUGUUGAGAAAAGCUGAACAAAUAUUUACUACGAGCCACUGCUGGCCGCUGUGUUUUCCUGCCCUGUGAGGUGUGUGAGGUGGGCAGGGGGCUGUUGAACCCAAUGGCUGUGGCCUCAUCUUGCCAUUAAAAGAAGAAAGUGGGGAAAAGGUGCUGUGCCUUGGGGUCCUCAAAAGGCAAAUAUCA